CCUACGGGGGGCUGCAGUGGGGAAUUUUGGACAAUGGACGGAAGUCUGAUCCAGCGACGCCGCGUGAAGGAAGAAGUCCUUCGGGAUGUAAACUUCUGAACUUAUCGAAUAAAGACAACUGGGGACAGUUGGAUGAAGGUAGAUAAAGAAAAGCCCCGGCUAACUACGUGCCAGCAGCCGCGGUAAGACGUAGGGGGCGAGCGUUGCCCGGAAUUACUGGGCGUAAAGGGGGCGUAGGCGGUCAAAUAAGUCAGAUGUGAAAUACUACUGCUCAACGGUAGAAAUGCGUUUGAAACUGUAAGACUUGAGGGUACCAAAGGUAGACGGAAUUACCUGAGUAGGGGUGAAAUCCGUAGAUACAGGUAAGAACGCCAGUGGGGAAGCCGGUCUACUGGGGUAACCCUGACGCUGAGGCCCGAAAGCUAGGGGAGCGAACCGGCUUAGAUACCCCGGUAGUC
rnacentral:rRNA from 1 species